UACGUAGGUGCGAGCGUUGUCCGGAAUUAUUGGGCGUAAAGGGCUCGUAGGCGGUCUGUCGCGUCGGGAGUGAAAACUCAGGGCUUAACCCUGAGCCUGCUUCCGAUACGGGCAGACUAGAGGUAUGCAGGGGAGAACGGAAUUCCUGGUGUAGCGGUGGAAUGCGCAGAUAUCAGGAGGAACACCGGUGGCGAAGGCGGUUCUCUGGGCAUUACCUGACGCUGAGGAGCGAAAGUGUGGGAGCGAACAGG
rnacentral:rRNA from 1 species